rnacentral:pre_miRNA from 1 species
CUUGCGGGGGUGUCCCUCAGCCCAGAUUGCAAGAGGGUGCAGGCCAGGCCAAGGGACCCCACCAGUGCAGG